AAGAAGAGAAGAAGAAGAAGAAGGAGUCAACGGAAGACAUGGUUGGAAAACGAGAGGAACCACGUCAGGAGCAGGUCCACUUGGAGAUGGUGAAGCCUACGGUAAGACAAAUGUCGUUUUAAGGACGAAGACACCCUCGUAAUUAUUUACUAUUUCAAGAUAAUAAAUUUCAUUCUUCUCGUCUAAUUUUUUUAUUUAUUUGCUUAAUUAAGUUUUAAACAUCUUAUAAAUUUAACUUGCUUUUAUUAUUUACAUUUAAAAUAUGUUUUUAUUUGUUAGUAGGGAUCAGUGAAGCUCAAACACACAGACUGUCAACUAAUAUAUAUUAUGGGUGAUCCGAUAGCGGCCCAAUAGUGGGUGGCACGAUAGGCCCAACAUAUAUUCGCUAUGAUAGAAGUGGACUUUAAGCCUAACUCAACCCCAUAAAGCUGGCUCAUAAGGUUGAGGUUUGCACCCACUUAUAUACAAUGAAAGACUUUAAUCUCUAGUCGAUUUGGGAUCUCUAACACUUGUGCACAUAAAUCUUUAUGGUCAAUUUAUAUAAUUUAUAAUUAUAUGAUAUAUAGAUAUGUGUCCCUGUAUCCUACACUUUAGAGAUUUUGUGUAUCCUACAUUUUAGAAAUUUUGUGUAUCUCCGCCUCCGUGUCUUAUCCGCAUUAGUGUUUAUGCUAAGAUAGGUAGAGAUAUGUUUUUGUAAAUUAUGUAUUAUAAAUUAAAAUAUUAUUAAAAAUUAAAUAAAAAUUGUCUGCAUCAAUGUUAGAAAUCUGGUUGUUUUUGGUGCUGCAAUUGGUUGUUAGGACGUGGACAUUUGCUUGGGGAAAGGUCCUAAUAUUGACCAGCAGCUCAACCAAACACUGUUUUAUAUAAACUUCUUCAUUCAUUUUCUAUUAGAGUAGAGAUUCAUAAUAAUUUAUAUAUUCUUUAAUUUUUAAAAAUAUUUUUCUAAAAAAAAAUUGUGAUGAAAUUUUAAAUUUUAAAACUCUUAAAUCUCAACUUAUUAUCCUUU
rnacentral:lncRNA from 1 species